rnacentral:rRNA from 2 species
UACAUGCAAGUCGAACGCAAUCUUUGACUAAUGAGUGCUUGCACUCAGCGGUCAAAGUGCGAGUGGCGAACGGGUGAGUAACACGUGGGCAAUCUGCCCAAAAGUGGGGGAUAACACUUGGAAACAGGUGCUAAUACCGCAUCAACCGGCUGACCGCAUGGUCGGCGGGCAAAGACGGCGUCAGCUGUCGCUUUUGGAUGAGCCCGCGGCGUAUUAACUAGUUGGUAAGGUAACGGCUUACCAAGGUGAUGAUACGUAGCCGAACUGAGAGGUUGAUCGGCCACAUUGGGACUGAGACACGGCCCAAACUCCUAC